CCACCAAAAGGAACUUGCCCAUUUUCUCUCUUUAUAAGUGUCUAUAUAUGUAGAAGGUGAAGAACAGCCCUACAAAAAUUCCUUCUUUCUCUCUCAAAGAACAGAAAAGAAAAAAAAAACACAAGAGAUGAAAUCGCUCUUCUUAUUUCUUGUGUUUUUUAAGGCUAUGCUUGUUUUGUGCCGUUUAAAAAGGGUUGUUAUUACAGUUACUUUUUUUUUUUUUUUUUUUUUUUUUUAAUAGAUAAACAAGAAUGAGAAAAAAAAGCUACUUGGUUUUGUGGUUGUAUACAUAAUUAUAAUUUUUUUUUUUUUAAAUUUGGGGUUUGAAGAUCCAUUUGAUUAGGACCCCAUUUUGAUCAUCACUUAUAUCUCUCUUUUCCCUUUUAUUUUUCACUUUUUCCUAAAUAUAAACCAUUAUUCUCCUCCCUAAAUUCACUUCAUCUUCUUUAUUCUUGAUAAAAAUGAUCAUGGGAAAAAAAAUUGUUAUGAAUUUAAUGAGCUAGUUAUAUUGUAUAUAUGAGUAUGUGUAUGUACGUUCAUAUACAUGUAUAUGCCUGGCUCCCUGUAUGCCAUUUGCAGAGCUCAUCGUAAUAUAUCGAUGGGCCUUGUUGAAUGGCGUAUGAGGAGCCAAGCAUAUUCCGAUAUCGUGUAUAUGAUGUUGAAAUAUGUGACCAUCUCAUAAUAUAAAUCAAAAGCUAGCUCUUUUUUUUUUUUUAUCUUUUUUUUCUUGUUGUCUAAUUUGUUUUGUUGAGAUCUAUGCUCGGCCAUGGUGAUUGUUGAAGAAUUCUCUCCUUGGUGCUAAGGAAUUUGAGGUGAUUUUCUUCUCUCUCAGUUGCAACAGGUACUUUUGAAAUUAGUUCAUCCUGUCCACUUUCUUAAUUUACAUAAUGAUAUAUAUGUAGGGAUUCUUAAUUUGAAAUGUGUUUUCAUAUUGUUAAUUAAUCUUUCAUUUCCUAGUUUAUAUGUUUGUUUCUUUCAUGUUUAAGUUUUUCUUGCAGAUGGAUGAAGUAUAAUUUGUGUACCGUGAUUGUACUGCAUCUAGUCUAUCUAGAAAAUUAUACCAUCAAGAAAGCUAUAGAUUUACAUUAUUGUGUAGAGUUUAAAGUUGAAUGCACUUAAGGGGUUGUUUGGUUACAGGGAUUAUGGGGUUUUUCACAGUAUAAAAUUCAAAUUAAACUUAUCUAAUAUUUGGUUGACAUGAAUAUUAACUAAAAUUAGGAUAAAAUUUAUACAAAAUUAUGAGAUUAACUCCCACAUUGAAGGUGAAACCAUAUAUCAUGAUUAUAAUGUUGCAUUAACUUGAUUUUGAACCAAACGACUUGUAUAAAAUAUAUUAUACAUCUUGGAUUAUUAAAAGGACAGCGCAAGCAACCCUUUACAAUUAAUACCGAUUAGCUAGUAACCUUAAACAACUAGUAGGUUGUCUGUUAUAAUAACUGAAACUAUAUUAAUAAUGUGAAAAAAGUAUUUUGUUAGUGUAACAUAUAUGUAACGUAAAUUUUUUGUUGAUAAUUCUUUUUCUUUAGGGUUUUAGUUCUUGUUCUUGAGAGGUAUUUUUAGCAUAGGGUUUUGUAAUUAGGGCCAUUUGUGCGGCUCAUGGGAUUGACUCAUAUUCACGUGCUACAAUAAAAGAAGCUCACGGCUAUGCGCUUGGAUCUGUUCUUCUUUUUUGUAUUAUCUAAAUUUAAAUUAUACAUCGAUAAUAUAAUAAAUAUAAUAUUCUUACAUUUUAUUAGAAUAAUAGGAGGUUCGUUAUUAGUUUUAUCAAGUUAUAACUUAAUCCUUAUUAAGAGACGUACUAAUAGUUUUUUUAAUGAUUUGACUGUGUAAACAAUUUUUUCGCUAUUUUUGUUUUAAAGUUUGUGCGGUAUAUAUUUUUCUACAUAUUCCCAUAAGGCAUCGAAACCAUACGUAUAAUGACAAGCAUGAAAGUUACAACCUAUGUCUGUUGCCCUAAUAUUAUCCUUUCUCUGGACUUGUGUCUUUGCAUCAGCGUAGAAAUUUUUACACUUAUAAAUAUUAUUUGGAAUACAUGAUACUAUAAAAAGAUUAUAUUGAUUAUGUAUAUAACAUAAAUUCUUCUUCGAAUGCGGUUAACUAUCACAUUACCUCGUAAGUACUGUUUCAUUUAGCAAUUUUCUUUAGUUUCUGAUUUUCUUUUUGUAUUAUCAUUAAUAAUAAGGCCUUGUACGUUGAUGGGAUAAUCUCAACUUUUUUUUUUUUUUUUUUAAAUUCAUGUCAUAGUUUUUUGAACUGUAAAUCAAUGUAGACUGAUCAGAUUUUAUUCCUGUCUUUUACAUUUUUUACAGUGCUUCGAAGGACAUUCUUUUGUUUGAACAAUUUUGUCUUAGAAAAUGAUUACUUCUAUUUGUACAAUUGUAGGGUCACAUGUUAGAU